CAGGUUGCGCGAUUGGAGCUUAUGCUCCUCCAGAUAGUAUUAGACCUCAUUGACAUUGUUAACAAGUGACGUCACACUCUAGCACAGGAUUUUUUUUUGAUUGCAUAUAUCGGUUGGUAGGAAAGGGGCCUGUUUUGUUCAUCCUAUUAGUCUAAUUGUCUAUUAAGUUUGAACAUUGAUAGAUGGGAUGUCAGAUGAAAACGAAGUUACCGUUCCGGAGGUAGAGAAAAUUGCUUCUCUAUCGGGACCAUUAAAUCAAGGAGGACUUAAUAAUGAAAUACAAAUCAGUCCCAACGUUUUUGAGGUUAUCUAUUUUUUGUUUUGUUUUUGAAUCAAGAGUCUGUUUAUUUCUUAAAAAUCUAUUACUAUACUGACCCUCAUUUAUUUUCUCUUUCAUUAUGAUUUAAUUAAUUUAUUUAUACUAAGUUUAGGGUAGCUCGACUUAUUCAUACAAAGAAGACGGAUAAAGAUGGUGAGAAUCUGCAUAGAGUUCUGGACAUAGAGCUUGACAAGGAGUAUAUAAUCAACAAAAAUAAUGGUUCAUUUCAAUUUUUCAAGAUUAAUAUAACAAAAGAGGAUUUAGAUAAUGGAGUCAUGAUUUUGUCCGAAAGCUGGGAUAACUUCCAAAUUGCCUUUUUUCAUGAGGGGGAACUUUCUAUGGCGAAACAGUCUGAGUCUGUAAUUGAAGGGAUUGCAAGGAACUUUUUUGUUUAACUUCGAAAAAGGAUCACAAUUAUAUGAUUGCAGAAGAAAUUUUUUUUAAUUAUUAUGAAUAUAUACUCCCUGGAAAACAUUUAUUUUGUGUUUGUCUGAAUAGUGGAUAUUGCAGCUUGUUUUGUUCGAAAGCUCAACCUCGAUACGAAAAGUGUGCUGAAAGAAUUAAAAUAGAAAGGAAGGAUAUACAAGUAAUGCAAGAAAAAAAAAAUUUCUUGGAAGAUGAACUUAAAGAAGUCGAGAAAAAAAAAGAUGGAAUCAAAGAUAAAACAGAAAAAUUAACUCCAAAUACGGAAGAAUUCAUAUCCAAACGAGUAAAUUUGUAUAAUGAUUUAUUCCCAAAAAGUGAAGAAAACCAUGGUUACUGUAGUAAUUUAAAUAUUUUUCGUUGUUAAAGCUUAUAAACCUGAACUGCUUAUUUUCUUAUUGCAAGUAAAAAAGUAGUUUUUACCAUUUUGUGUACAUUGACUUUGUAUUUAUCGCUCAUUACUUGUAUAAGACUAAGCUCUUUGCUUAAAUUCAUAUUAAUGUAUGAAUGAUUGAUAUACGUCAAAUAAACAAAUUUUAUAAACUA
rnacentral:lncRNA from 1 species